AUGGCCACCAAUCCAGCACCACAGCACAAGAGGGCCGCUAACCCAGCGCCAAUACCCAAAUUGGCCACCGGUCCAGCGCCACAACCCAAGAUGGUCGCCAGCUUAGAGCCACAGCACAAGAUGGCCGACUCAACGUCUGAGUCGCCAGUCAAGGUGCCACUCACUCGCCAUCGUAGAGGGCGGAGGACGAGAAGACAGGCUUCUACCAUUCCUCAAAGCCUGGAGAACGUUCCCGAGCGGGCCGCUGCCGUCCAGGGGGACGUUCCCGAGCGGGCCGCUGCCGUCCAGGGGGAAGUUCCCGAGUGGGCCGCUGCCGUCCCCGAGGCGGUGCCCGAGGUCGUUCCUGAUGCAGUUACCGAGGCGGUGCCCGAGGCUGUUCCGGAGGUUGAGGCGGUGCCCGAUGCUGUUCCGGAGGCCGACGUGGUACCCGAUGCUGAGGCAGUGCCACAGGUUCCGGUGGACUCUCAGGAGUCGAGUCAGGUUCCGGUGGACUCUCCGGAGUCGAGUCAGGUUCCGGUGGACUCUCCGGAGUCAAGGCUAGUCACCGCUGACCCUCCUGAGUCAGGGCUAGUCACUGCUGACCCUCCUGAGUCAGGGCUAGUAACUGCUGACCCUCCUGAGUCAGGGCUAGUAACUGCUGACCCUCCUGAGUCAGGGCUAGUCACCGCUCUGCUGGAGUCCAAUAAAGACACCAGGGGAUUACCGGAGUUUCGUAGUUCCGUUGGUCCGGCCGCACAGAGGUCAGCUCCGCCUUGGGGGGCUCUCGUCCUGACCACAUGGCUGUGGUGGUCUUCUGCUUGGACCUUGGGGGUCCCUCGCCCUGACCACAUGGCUGUGGUGUUCUUCCGCUCCGUCCUGGAGGACUCCGGCCUUGACCACAAAGACGUGGUGGUCAUCCGCUCCGCCCUGGGGGACUCUGGCGGUGACCACGAGGACGUGGUGGUCUUCUGCUCUGCCCUGGGGGGCUUCCGCCCUGACCACACAGUUGUGGUGGUCUUCCGCUCCGCCCUGGUGGACUCCGGCCUUGACCACAAAGAUGUGGUGGUCAUCCGCUCCACCCUUGGGGACUCUGGCGGUGACCACGAGGACGUGGUGGUCUUCUGCUCCGCCCUGGGGGGCUUCCGCCCUGACCACACAGUUGUGGUGGUCUUUCGCUCCACCCUGGAGGGCUCUGGCUUCGACCACAUGGCUGUGGUGGUCUUCGGCUCCGCCCUGGUGGGUGCCACAUUAUGUCCUUCAUGGAUUUCGGUUUUGUGUUUUGGUUUUUGUUAUGUUUCUGCCUGUUCCCCUCAGUUAGUCUGGCCCUCCGUCCCUCCCCCUGAACCUCCUCCGGUCCUCCUCCCUCCUGGUCUCCCUGUUUUAUGUUUACAUUUCUGGUGUUUGUUCCCCAUGUUUUUCUUUUCCGUCCCUCCCCCUGAGCCUCCACCUGUCCGCCUCCCUCCUGGUCUCUGUGUUGUGUCUUGUCAUGGAGCGUCUGGGAGCCGCUCCGUAGUGGGGGGGUACUGUCACAGUGUCUGGGUUGUUGUUCCCUGGGGUUCAACUAGAUGUCCUCCUUUCUCACAGUGUCUGUCUGGAAUGUGCUGGAUGUGA
ensembl:lncRNA